rnacentral:rRNA from 1 species
AGUGAACGCUGGCGGUAGGCCUAACACAUGCAAGUCGAACGGCAGCACAGGAGAGCUUGCUCUCUGGGUGGCGAGUGGCGGACGGGUGAGGAAUACAUCGGAAUCUACUCUGUCGUGGGGGAUAACGUAGGGAAACUUACGCUAAUACCGCAUACGACCUACGGGUGAAAGCAGGGGACCUUCGGCCCUUGCGCGAUUGAAUGAGCCGAUGUCGGAUUAGCUAGUUGGCGGGGUAAAGGCCCACCAAGGCGACGAUCCGUAGCUGGUCUGAGAGGAUGAUCAGCGACACUGGAACUGAGACACGGUCCAGACUCCUACGGGAGGCAGCAGUGGGGAACAUCGGACAAUGGGCGCAAGCCUGAUCCAGCCAUACCGCGUGGGUGAAGAAGGCCUUCGGGUUGUAAAGCCCUUUUGUUGGGAAGGAAAUCCAGCUGGCUAAUACCCGGUUGGGAUGGCGGUACCCAAAGAAUAAGCACCGGCUAACUUCGUGCCAGCCGCCGCCGUAA